rnacentral:misc_RNA from 1 species
GGGUUGCUUGAAAUGCAGGUGCGCUGGACACAUCUUCUGAGCUAUAAGCAUUACUUAUUUAAUCCCGUCAAACGGAUUAUUUCUAUUGCUGCAGCUAACAUAAAGGUUGAUUGUCCUUGUGCCCGACUGAUGCAGGAAAACAAAGAGAAAUCUUUGUUCAACUCGAUCUCAAAUCAAGUAAGACUACCCGCUGAACUUAA